rnacentral:rRNA from 1 species
UACGGAGGGUGCUAACGUUGCUCGGAAUCAUUGGGCGUAAAGCGCACGUAGGCGGCUGUGCAAGCUGGAUGUGAAAGCCCAGGGCUCAACCCUGGAAGUGCAUCCAGAACUGCAUGGCUUGAGUACCAGAGGGGGUCGGAGAAUUCCCGGUGUAGAGGUGAAAUUCGUAGAUAUCGGGAGGAAUACCAGAGGCGAAGGCGCCGACCUGGAUGGAUACUGACGCUGAGGUGCGAAAGCGUGGGGAGCGAACGGG